rnacentral:rRNA from 1 species
UACAGAGGGGGCAAGCGUUAUUCGGAAUUAUUGGGCGUAAAGGGCGCGUAGGCGGCUUGGCAAGUGGAUGGUGAAAGCCCGAGGCUCAACCUCGGAACUGCCUUCGAUACUGCGGGUCUCGAGUCCGGGAGAGGUGAGUGGAAUUCCUAGUGUAGAGGUGAAAUUCGUAGAUAUUGGCUGGAACACCGGUGGCGAAAGCGGCUCUCUGGCCCGGUUCUGACGCUGAGGCGCGAAAGCGUGGGGAGCAAACAGG